AAAGAUUGCAGAAUAAAUAUCUUCCAAACGGCGCCGUAACGGAGAGAUAGCCUGUCGAGAUCUCAGUGAACACGCGUCGGGAAGUCAGCCGUCGAUGGACACGAUUCGCGGGACCCGCAGGUGGUCCAGCUGGAUUCUAAUGUUGCAAAAGCCGGUCAGCUAAACCGGGCAGCUCAGCCUCUUUAUAAACACUCCAUCAUCGCAUUGAUUCUCAACACUGUGAAAAAACAUUUCUAAGCUUUUAGCAUUUUCGAAUCAACAAAAAAAGUUCUCCCUUCUCUGUCUAACCACAAAUGGCGUUCUCAAAGUCUUCCGUCGUUGCUCUCGUCGCGGUCCUCGUCUCCGUCGUAGCUACCGUCGCUUCCGCUCAAGUCGAGGCUCCAGCUCCAAGCCCUACGUCCGGAUCUGCUGCUUUCUCGCCGUCGAUCGUUUCAGCUGGUGUUGCAGCCGUCGCAGCUCUUGUUUUCGGCUCUGCUCUUCGGAUCUAAGUCUGUGCGAUGGAGAUUCGUAUUUUUGAAAAAAUUAUUGAUCGGGUAUAGCAUUAUUAUUAUUCAUGAUGUUCGUGUGUAUUCAGGAGCUAUAUAGAUCUCUUUCUAUUUUUCUAUUAUCUAAUACCUUCAUAUCUGUAUGAGGGUACUAUAUUUAUAUCUAGAGUAUUGUGGUUUUGUGUGUUUCUACUAUGGUUUUUGAUAUGACUCUUAUUCUAUUUAUUUAUGGAUCUGAUGUUUCUCAGUUUAUAUCUUUCUCGUUCUUUACAUAAUCGGUUUAUCAAACUUCCUCUGCUUACAAUUACGAUACGAGCUUGUUUCACAAUUAUAACGUUAUACUCCAAAUCGAAUCACCCCAACUAAGAUUUAACUAAAAUCUGAAUCUAAGUGAUUGUCAUUUGGAUUCAAUUUAUAUUUUUGGUGGAAUCUGAAUCGAGAUUGUUUCUCGCGAGGUUCAAUUUCUCGACCCGACAACAUCCAAUUUUCUGUUGUCGGAACCACAUCUUUUGUUUUGUUUUUUUUUUCUCGUUAGUGAAACGCAUGUCCGAAGGAGUAGUGUUUACCUCGACAUUGUUUUAAAAAUUGAGGUCACAUUUUCGUGUAAAAUCAAUAUAUGGAAGAAUGAAAACCGAUAAAGGGAAAAAAAGUCGAGCGUUUCGUUUGGAGUAGGUAGAAAAUUGAGGUAACAACUUUACAAAGAGGUCCCUGAAGGAAAUUCAAUUUCUUCUAUCACCCGUCGCCCGUCGGACAUUUACCAGUGCUAUUUUUUUAGUUUCAUAGGCGUGUUUUCUUUUUCUAAUCACACAAACGGCAAAGGACAUUGUUAUUAACGAAGUCAAAGUUUUCGUGAUGAAUACCAGUUUUGGUCGGAAUUGAGAAUUUUUUUUGGGAAUUUAUUUGAUGAUAAGGAAAGUUGAUGACUUCUUUCUGGCAUAAAUUUAAAAGUUGAAGCUUUUUUCAGACCGUGAGAACUGUUGAGUAAAGCAUCUCCAAUGUAAAACUCCAUUUAAAAAAAAAAAUAAGUAAAAAUAAAAAUUGAGUAAAAUUGCUCUAAUUCUACUUAAUUUCUUAUUCUACAAACAAAAAAAUAGAUUAUUUAAUUUAUGGAGUAAAUUUCAUUAUGGAGUGAGAUAUAAAAUUGAGUUGGAGCAUUCAUUAUUUCAUAUUCAUUUUUACUCUAUUUUAGAUGAAAAAAUGGAAUACUGAUGAAAAUGGCCUUAGAAUCGAAAUAGUUCGCGUUUAUUUGCAUGUAACGUGGUGUGAAUUGUGAUAUAUGUGUGAUCCUGCACCAUAUUUAAUAUCCUCUCUAAUCAAUUUUCCACGCUGUCCCACCCAAAUCCUCCUAACUGGCUACGCGCAUCUCAACCUAUCGCAUUUUACGCCAUUAAUCCAAUUUAAUUGCAAAACUUUUAUGUUCACAAACAAUGAUUCACCGUUUGGUUUUUAGGUUUAGUUGAAUGUAUUUGCCUCAUGAUUGGUGCCUUUAUUUUGUAGGUAGGUCACCCCUGUUGUUAUUUUCAAUGAAAAAAAGUUAUUCCUUGAAAUAAAGAUAACAACAUUCCAUCAACCAAAAGAAAGAAAAAAGAGUCGUUAUGUUAACGGUAAGAGACAAAGAGUCGUCGGUCAUUGAUAUCAUCUUUGACUGCUGUUAUGCUAAGCUAAUCAAUGCCGACUCCCCGGAAAUGACAAGGCGACAUGCAAUGAUGCAAUAGAGUAACAUACUAACAUGAAUAUGGUUUUUGAGUUUUCAAAAGAAACGUGUUAAAGCAUGUUUGUUUGUAAAAGCGGAUGAUUAAGUUACUUCAAACAAUUUGUUCUAAUAAGCUUUUUUGGUUGAUUAAAGUAAAGUUAUAGUUUUAUCUAGAACUUAGCAUAGCAAGCUUCAGAGGUUGAUUGUUUGUAGUUUUUAGACUAGUUUUUGGUUUUUGUUUUUUCAAAAACCAUUUUUUCUCCAAUCAAGUUUUAGCUUUUAGUUUUUGUUUUUGUAAAAACUAUUUCAUUUGCCAAUCAAGUUUUUUAACAAAUAGAUUCCCUAAAAUUUAAGAAAACUAGUUUUUGAAAAAUUUAACCAAUUUAUGAAGAAAAACCAAAAACCAACUUUUGUUAGCUUUUAUGAAAAAACGAAUUUUGAUUUUAUUUUUGAAGAAACUAGUUCAUUUUAAUUAAUUAAUAAUUAAUAAAUAAUAUUUUCAUGAAGAUAAAAUUAUCAUACAAGUUUUGCACUUUAGAUAUCAUUUAAAUAAUAAUCUGAAAUACUUUAUUUGUGAUUUGUAUCUCUAAAAUAUAUUUAUAUAUUUUAUAAAUAAUAUUAUUUAAUUUUAAAAUUGGUUAUUACUUUCUAAUAAAAAAACUGAAUAUUUUUAAUAAUUAUUAGUCACAUUAAAAAUAACUAAGAGUUAGAAAACAUAAUAUGUUUUAUUCAUACAAUAUAUUGUAUUAAUCUUAAAAAAUAAAAAUAGCCAUUCAUCUUUAAGAAAAUAUAAAUACUUUAAAUUUUUUUUAAUUAUUUCCAAAAUUUGAGUAUUUUGUUUUUGAUAAAAGUUUUUUUAUAUAAAAUUUGAGUAUUUUUUAUUUUUGUAUAAUUUAUAAUAUUUAUAUAAGAAAACUAUUGCUAUUCAAUUUUUUAAGAAAUUAUAAAUAAUUUAUAUAAGAAAAAUUUCUAAGUAGUUUCAAACUUUUAAAUAAUUUUAUUUUUGGGUAAUUUUAUAUAUUUUUUAUUUAUAUUUUAUAUAAUAUAAUUUUAAUAUAAUAACUAAAAUAUGUUAUUGUAUUUUAUUUUAAAUAAUAAUCAUAAUAUUUUGAUAAAUUUUAAUUGUAAAUAUAAAUAUUUAUUGCUAUUUGUUGUAUUAUUUUAAAGUAAUAUAUUAAUUAGGUUUUGAAAAAUGAAAAAAAUACAGCAAAAUCAAAAACCAAAAUCAAAAUCUAGAAACCAAAAGCUAGAAACCAAAAACCAAAAUCUAAAAACCAAAACUAAAAUCUAAAAACCAAAAACUAAAACUAAAAACUAUUGAAACAAUCAUCACCUCAGUUUUCUUUCAUGGUGAUACUCGAGAGGUUUUUUCCUUGUUGACAAAGGUUCUCUUUGCUUAUACUCUCCAUAUGAUGCUUCUUUCAUUAAUUUGAAUACAAUAUCACUAAACAUUUUGUUAUUAACUCUUUCUGUUAAUGAUUAAUCAUGUUUAUACUAGACUUUUAUUUUAUCACUAUGGUUAUCUAAUCACAUCAAAAAGUCAAGAAAAAAAGUAAGAUACAAAUAAAGGGGUUUAAUUGAUGUAAGGUUAAAACAUCAGGGGGGUUUAAUUGAUGUAAGGUUAAAACAUCAGGGGGUUAAUAUGCAAAUUACCACACAAAAAAAGGGAAAAUUAAGAAGGAACAGGAGGAAGCAAAGGCAACAGAUUUGGUUUAUUUCAGGGCAGCACUAGAUCAGAGUCCUCUUGUCGGAGAAUAUGCAAUCGAUCCGUAGCAGUACAAGGUUGCUUCAGAGGAACCGUUUCUCCAGCUCCAACACUCUUCGUUUCACUUCUUCUUCUUCCCCAAGCUGGUCUGAGAAUGAAUCGAGGAGGCCAGGAGGGUUUGAUUCUUUCCAUCCCACCAGAGAUUUUAAUUCACCAGCCAAGUAUCUCAUUAGCUCGUUGACAAAGGCGGUUUCUUUCUCUUCCGCAGUACCUCCUGUAAGCUUAGCCAAUCAUAGCUUGUUAAUUUGCUUCUCUGAUUGUAGAAAUGUAGAGGAUAAAUAGUUGUCAAUGGAGAUAUAGUUCCAAGCUUAGGUGUUUGACAAAGUUUCGUGCUUUAUAGAUUUUUCGACAUGUUUGGGUCACUGUGAUACUUAGAUGAGGUUUCUUUGUGUUUGAGACAACACUCUCUGAAUUUGUAUGGUGAUUUGGCAUAUGUUUCUCAGAGACAAAACUUUACGUAUGCAUCGAGGUGCUUUUCCACCGUUGGAGAUUCUGUUCAGUCUACUCCUCAAGGAUCAGCUCCUGACAUGGUUCCGAGAAUCAAGUUCAAGCGGCUUGAUAAAACCGCCAAGCAUAUCAUGCAGGUACAAUUCCAACUUUGACGAUUGGUCAUUGACAAUUAAAUUAAGAAAGUUGCAAUCUUUCUGCAGAUUGUAGACAAGGAGGCGGUUGAGGAAGUAAGAAAUGGUAGGGAGAUACCUGAGAUAAGGCCCGGUUACAUUGUGCAGCUCAAAGUGGUAAAUACUAUUGAGAAUAGGAUCUAAAAUAUCCUUCAAAAGGUUAAAACUUUCAUUGGCUUUGCAUUUAACUUUCUUAGAUUUUCCUUGUUUGAACACUUUAGGAAGUGCCUGAGAACAAGAGGCGUGUUUCAAUCGUAAAAGGAAUUGUGAUAGCAAGGCGUAACGCUGGACUUAACUCUACGUUUAGGAUUAGAAGACUUGUGGCCGGAGUGGGAGUCGAAUCCAUGUUCCCCUUGUAAGUACUCUUAAACCUUUUUGCCCUCUCUCUCCUUUGUGCUAAUGGCAAAGAUGGAUUUUACAUUCCUAGAGCCUCAUAGCAUGCUCAAAACGCUUCCAUUUACGAGAAAAAACAGCUGAUAUGUGAGGUUGGUGACAGGUAUUCGCCAAACCUGAGGGAGAUUAAGGUGUUGGACAAGAAGAGAGUAAGAAGAGCCAAACUUUAUUACCUCAGGGACAAGAUGAACGCUCUCAAGAAGCAUUAGAGCACCUUAAUCUUCAAUUAAUCAUAUAAACAGGGUAGUCUACUCCCUUAAACAAAGUCUUUGAGGGUUGUUUUUUUGGUGACGAAUUGGCCUUUUCGUCACAUAUUGUGAACCUGUGUAUUUGAAUAAUGAUGGAUCCUUUUAUUCCUCUUACUUGCUCCAAUAAGUAUUGGUUAGUUAGUUCAUUAUGAGUAAUCUGUAGUAACUAAAUGUGUAGCUACUACACACAAAGCACGAAUCAACCUAAAACCAUA
rnacentral:lncRNA from 1 species